rnacentral:rRNA from 1 species
UGCCUAAUACAUGCAAGUCGAGCGAACAGAUAAGGAGCUUGCUCCUUUGACGUUAGCGGCGGACGGGUGAGUAACACGUGGAUAACCUACCUAUAAGACUGGGAUAACUUCGGGAAACCGGAGCUAAUACCGGAUAACAUAUUGAACCGCAUGGUUCAAUAGUGAAAGGCGGCUUUGCUGUCACUUAUAGAUGGAUCCGCGCCGUAUUAGCUAGUUGGUAAGGUAACGGCUUACCAAGGCAACGAUACGUAGCCGACCUGAGAGGGUGAUCGGCCACACUGGAACUGAGACACGGUCCAGACUCCUACGGGAGGCAGCAGUAGGGAAUCUUCCGCAAUGGGCGAAAGCCUGACGGAGCAACGCCGCGUGAGUGAUGAAGGUCUUCGGAUCGUAAAACUCUGUUAUCAGGGAAGAACAAAUGUGUAAGUAACUGUGCACAUCUUGACGGUACCUGAUCAGAAAGCCACGGCUAACUACGUGCCAGCAGCCGCGGUAAUACGUAGGUGGCAAGCGUUAUCCGGAAUUAUUGGGCGUAAAGCGCGCGUAGGCGGUUUUUUAAGUCUGAUGUGAAAGCCCACGGCUCAACCGUGGAGGGUCAUUGGAAACUGGAAAACUUGAGUGCAGAAGAGGAAAGUGGAAUUCCAUGUGUAGCGGUGAAAUGCGCAGAGAUAUGGAGGAACACCCAGUGGCGAAGGCGACUUUCUGGUCUGU